GACACGACUCCCGGCAACGGAUAUCUCGGCUCUCGCAUCGAUGAAGAACGUAGCGAAAUGCGAUACCUGGUGUGAAUUGCAGAAUCCCGCGAACCAUCGAGUCUUUGAACGCAAGUUGCGCCCGAGGCCACCCGGCCGAGGGCACGCCUGCCUGGGCGUCACGC
rnacentral:rRNA from 1 species